AUUGAACGCUGGCGGCAGGCUUAACACAUGCAAGUCGAACGAGUGGCGGACGGGUGAGUAAUGCUUGGGAAUCUAGCAUAUGAAGGGGGAUCACUACGGGAAAAUGUAGCUAAUAAAGCAUAACGUAGGAUGAGCCCAAGUGGGAUUAGGUGGUUGGUGAGGUAAAGGCGCCCCAAGCCGAAGAUCUCGAGCUGGUCUGAGAGGAUGACCAGCAACACCGGGAUUGUGACACGGCCCAGACUCCUCCGGGAGGCAGCAGUGGGGAAUAUUGCGCAAUGGGGGCAACCUGACGCAGCCAUGCCGCGUGAAUGAAGAAGGCCUUCGGGUUGUAAAGGUCUUUCGGUAGCGAGGCGUUAACUACAGAAGAAGCACCGGCUAACUCCGUGCCAGCAGCCGCGGUAAUAC
rnacentral:rRNA from 1 species